rnacentral:siRNA from 1 species
CUUGACCGGCACCGGAGCUGCUAG